GACAGAGGUCCCGAGCGUUAGGCGGAAUCACUGGGCUUAAAGCGUGUGUAGGCGGAUCGUUAAGUACCUUGUGAAAUCCCACGGCUUAACCGUGGAACUGCUUGGUAUACUGGCGAUCUUGAGCCACUUAGGGGCUACCGGAACAAAUGGUGGAGCAGUGAAAUGCGUAGAUAUGCGGAGGAACACCGAUGGCGAAGGCAAUCCCCUGGGCCUGCACUGACGCUCAUGCACGAAAGCGUGGGGAGCAAACAGG
rnacentral:rRNA from 1 species